GUUUGCCAAGACAUCGGUGUUCCCGAUACACUGCGAAGGACACGGAUCUCUCCGGUGGGGUGACAUAAAUACGUGAAGACCUCUGCUUCGGGACAGAUACACCUACAAACUGCAUUGACAAGUUUGAUAGUGUUAGGACGCAUCUGCAGUCAUGAGGACCGUUCUCAUCUUUGCCCUGCUGGUAGCGGCAGCACAGUCUAUGAUAGUUUGCCCACCAAACUUCUGCAAGUCGGUUAAGUGCGAUUUGAGCGCCGUUCAGAACUGUGGCGGUAGAGUACAGCAGAAGGGAAGCAUGUGUGGUUGCUGCGAUGUCUGCAUCCAUCAACUGGGUAA